rnacentral:rRNA from 1 species
GACGUAGGGGGCAAGCGUUGUCCGGAAUUAUUGGGCGUAAAGAGCUCGUAGGCGGUCUGUCGCGUCGGCUGUGAAAACCCGAGGCUCAACCUCGGGCCUGCAGUCGAUACGGGCAGACUAGAGUUCGGCAGGGGAGACUGGAAUUCCUGGUGUAGCGGUGAAAUGCGCAGAUAUCAGGAGGAACACCGGUGGCGAAGGCGGGUCUCUGGGCCGACACUGACGCUGAGGAGCGAAAGCGUGGGGAGCGAACAGG